ACCAACGAAUCGAGUUAUUAAAUCGCCAUUACGUGCAUUAUUCAAAAUAUACAUCCAGGUAUCAUUUGCAUGCAAAUCCAUAAAAGAAUACAACGGUUUUCUUAAUGGGCUGUUAGAAUAUUUUCUGAGAACUGCCUCUAUGUUUACGACCGACGACAACAAGUCACCUAGAAACUGCGCUGACAACGGAGGAAGAUCUCUGAAUACGUUAACCAAAGACACAAUAAUCUCGAUCCUUGGGUUGGUUUUCAAUAACGAAAGUGAGGCAGUCUCUAGGACUUUAGAAUCAGAUAGAACAUUAAGGUGUUGAAGAAGCUUCCGACCUAUUUCCACUUUAAAGUAAUUAGUUAGUAAUCUUAAAAGUCUGGAUAAACCCUCAAGACCGUUAACUGACAGCUUAUUGUGGUCCGAUAAAUUCAUU